rnacentral:lncRNA from 1 species
GCAUGUUUCACGGCUGACGAACUGCAAGGCACGGCACUAAACACAUGCGAGCAUGCCACGGAAUCGUCAUCAAAUCGUUGCCUCCAUGUGGGGUAGACUGCUAGCUAUCCCCGUCCCCGGCCUUUCAUUAUGAAUCUGUCCUUGUAGCAAAGACUGUUGGAUUUGUUGUCUUUUGAUCCUAAACCCUUCCAACGACCCUGAGGCCACUGGUGAUCUACAGUCAGAUGACAUGUGCAGCCACUGUUCCGAUCCAUUCC